UCGUGGAGCGAUUUGUCUGGUUUAUUCCGAUAACGAGCGAGACUCUAGCUUACUAAAUAGUCUGGUCUUUAUUACUGAGGCCUGACUUCUUAGAGGGAUUUUCGGUGUUCAGCCGCACGAGAUUGAGCAAUAACA
rnacentral:rRNA from 1 species